CCCUCGGGACUGCGUUACUGUAUUGAUCACUAUGUGGGAACAACUUAGUCGCUGCAAUUAGUUCUCCCUACGGAGAUUUCAAUUUUUUAGUUAUAACUUGUUGCUGAAUAGGCUUUUAUUAAAAAUGCUAUGGGAGUGAGAUUGUUAUUUGAUGAUAUACACUUUUUUUAUUUCGUAGGUUCGAAGAAGAUAUAUUAGGCACACAAAAGUUGUGAUGUAUAUUUUCUUCUUUAAUAGUUUACAAAGUAUUUUCUCGUAGUUCAGCCCGAGGGUUUAGGUUACAUGACCAUAGUUCAAAGGCAACCAGGCUGAGCUGGUUAAUGCUUUCUGAAAUCAAUUCACAACAAUGGAGAAAGACGGCAUGGAGCGUCCGAAUCAAUACACAUUCUUGCCAUGUAUGUACUGCUUUCUAACCAAGUUCUAGUCUUCUUUUUUUAUACCAUUUUGAAUUGGAAGAAAGAUUGUAUUUUCUUCUGACUCGAUGGACGGUGCUCUGUUACAAUAGCUUUGUUUCUUGCCAGUUGGCCAGCGAGGAAAUAGUCCAUACCUAAGACUAAUAUUUACUUCGGUUAGCCUUGAAGACCAACAAAGAAUAAACACAACGAAAUGAUUUUCUGGUCGAGGCAUGCUUGCCAUCGAUGGUAAGCGACUAAUGACUGACUGCCUUGUAUCUUUUGCCUUAAUAUGCACUACUGCAGUUGAUAACGAAUUGUAACCAACAGCACACGGUUUUCUGUGUUCCCAGCAUGGCGAUCAAGUUUCACAAUAGCACAACGCAAAGGGCUUAGUCCUUAGCAAAGUGCGCCAGAAGAAUCCGUUCUUUGCCGAGCUAAGAUAUGUGUAAAUACCUUAAACAGAAGCCUUACACCUUAAAAUCUAGACACACACAAAGUGUUUUUAGAACGCCGUGACAAGCCAGAUUUAUUGAGUGCAAACUUGGUAAAACUGGAGUCUUUUUGAAGGAUUAAACCUUGACUCUGUAAUAUUGGUGAUGCAAUUCAGGAACGCUUUGUUCCAACUGCGAUUGCCAUUUUGUAGGUGUAAUGUUUAAAUCUGCAAGUGCAAUUUUCGAUUUUUUAGCACUGAACGAGUUUUGACUCAUCACCAGGUAUCAGUAAUGUAUAAGAGCUUGGUGUUUCAACAAUCAAGGGGACGAUAACCGUUUUCCUAGAAAUCGAGUAACAAGUCACGCGGGAACGGUUUCUAAGAAAUUGCAUGUGGCGAAGGUCAAAUUUUAGUAAUUUAAAACGAUUCGCGCCGAUAAAACAGUACCUUUCAUUCAUUCAAUGCAUGCACUGGAUUCAUAGAUUUUGUCUAAUAUAUCCAAGUGAUUUUAGGUUGGUUGGUGAGAGAUUGGUUAAGUCUUCGCGGAUGCUGACGGCUACUGUUCAGGAAUGGCGUGAUGUGGGAUGCAUGAGGUUCGCUUGGCCAUAAACACACUGGAAGCUAGGGCUUAUUUCUGAGGACAUCUUCAGCCAUGUUCUCAGAGCAACCAAUUAGUUUGUUCAAAUGGCCACCAAAAGGUACCUCACUAUAAAGACUGUUAUCUCGAGCAACCAGUACGCAGUAGACAAGUACUGCGAUCAGUUAACAGUCGUGAUUCAGCCUAGUACAGCGAUCACUGGUUGACGGUCAUAUGUAGGUCUUAUUGUGGCGGUGUUUGCUUUUAAAACACGUACCGAGAAAACAGAAUGUCUGUCUUUUUUGAUAGACUACGAUAGGAAUUUUGAAACAUUUAUUGGAGCAAUCAACAGAUCGUGCCAUUUCAAAAACCAGAUCACUAUGCUUGAAUAAUGGCCAUGGAUCAUACUUAGUGUGUUAAAUGAGCGGUUGAUGUCUGAUUUAUACCUUGCCCUCGCCUAGCGGUUUCGUCAGUAUCAGACG
rnacentral:lncRNA from 1 species